CUGAACCAGCCAAGUAGCGUGAAGGAUGACUGCCCUAUGGGUUGUAAACUUCUUUUAUAAAGGAAUAAAGUCGGGUAUGGAUACCCGUUUGCAUGUACUUUAUGAAUAAGGAUCGGCUAACUCCGUGCCAGCAGCCGCGGUAAUACGGAGGAUCCGAGCGUUAUCCGGAUUUAUUGGGUUUAAAGGGAGCGUAGGCGGACGCUUAAGUCAGUUGUGAAAGUUUGCGG
rnacentral:rRNA from 1 species